rnacentral:tRNA from 1 species
ACAGUCGUGGUUCAGUGGUCGAAUUCUUACCUUCCAUGCAGGAGACCCAGGUUCGAUUCCCGGCCAGUGCA